UAUUACGGAAAUACACAUCAGAAAACACCAAAUACCGUCUUAUGUUUGAAGUUAAGCUGGUAAUAGUGAUGUAAGUACUGUGGUGGGGGACCACACGAGAAUAAGACAUGCCGUAGUAU
rnacentral:rRNA from 1 species